UCUAACUGAUAUUCCGAGAAGUGGAAUGACGGGGUAACGCCCUGAAACGCUUCCCUUGAUACUGCGUUGGAAGAAACAGGACGUAUUUCCCGCGACUGACACAGCACGCUGAAGUCGGCUGUCUGCACCCGCAACUGUCUCCUUUGGGGAUA
rfam:Mouse gut metagenome LEAN3_T_BK-aaa76c02.b1, whole genome shotgun sequence.